GAUAGAACUGGAGUUUAUAACUCUUAAGCAUAUGCAUGCAGAAUGAAAGGAUAUGCAAAGAACAGAGUGGGCUGUCAAGAAUGAAGUAUUUGUGAAAUGUGGUGAGAUGGUUCUCCGACUUGCAUCCUGGAAGCUAUUAAGAGGAAGUCGGCUGAGGAGUAGUGUACCACCUGCUAUCGUGAUCAUUAAAGCCCCAGGAACAGCAAGGAGCUAAUGGGGCUUUACAUCUAUAAUAAAAAUAACCAAAGUUGCCAGAUUGAAACUGCUGAAGUUCAAAACAUCAGUGAAAGGUGUCAGGAUGCAUCAUCACAACUUAUCCUCCGUGGCCUCCAAGCUUUUCUGUCCUGUAAAUUUUCUGAGGAUGAGGUCCAUGGCAGAAACUAUCCAAAGGCAGCAAAGUGGCCCCUGGAGACAGAUGAACAGAAUGAAUGAAGCACAGUGUUCACUUAGCUGCUCUGAAUUCAACCGAGCCCAGAGAUCGAAGCACCUGCCCUGAGCUGCAGUAAUAAACCGCAAAGAAUAUUCAUUGCCAUUAAAGGUUUAAUUUUUAAAGUUCAAA